rnacentral:rRNA from 1 species
AUACGGAGGGUGCAAGCGUUACUCGGAAUCACUGGGCGUAAGGCGCGCGCAGGCGGUCUUUUAAGUUGGAUGUGAAAGCCUACGGCUCAACCGUAGAACUGCAUCCAAAACUAUUAGACUAGAGUGUGGGAGAGGAAGAUGGAAUUAGUUGUGUAGGGGUAAAAUCCGUAGAGAUAACUAGGAAUACCAAAAGCGAAGGCAAUCUUCUGGAACACUACUGACGCUGAGGCGCGAAAGCGUGGGGAGCAAACAGGAUUAGAAACCCUAGUAGUCC